rnacentral:rRNA from 1 species
GAUGAACGCUGGCGGCGUGCCUAAUACAUGCAAGUCGAGCGAACAGACGAGGAGCUUGCUCCUCUGACGUUAGCGGCGGACGGGUGAGUAACACGUGGAUAACCUACCUAUAAGACUGGGAUAACUUCGGGAAACCGGAGCUAAUACCGGAUAAUAUAUUGAACCGCAUGGUUCAAUAGUGAAAGACGGUUUUGCUGUCACUUAUAGAUGGAUCCGCGCCGCAUUAGCUAGUUGGUAAGGUAACGGCUUACCAAGGCAACGAUGCGUAGCCGACCUGAGAGGGUGAACGGCCAAACUGGAACUGAGACACGGUCCCGACUCCCAAGGGAGGCAGGAGUAGGGAAUCUUCCGGAAUGGGCGAAAGCCUUACGGGGCAACGCCGGGGGAGUGAAGAAGGUCUUCGGAUCCUAAAACUCUGUUAUUAGGGAAGAACAAAUGUGUAAGUAACUAUGCACGUUUUGACGGUACCUAAACAGAAAAGCACGGCUAAAUAAGUG